CCGAGCCUGCUUCUCCCCUCCUCCGCCGCUGCGGUCGACCCCGAUCGAUGGAGAUGCGGAGAUACCACCGAGUCCUACGAUCGGUGGCUGCCCCUGCGCUGCUCCUGCUCCUGCUACUCACCCUCGUCCUACCGUUUAUUCAGACCCAGAUGCAGAGCGCACGGGAGAAGGCUGCCGACGAGCUGCCGUUGGACGGAGGCAUCGUCGACACGCCGGGGGCAGAGAACGACCUCAGGAUCGUCGACCUCGCCCGCUUCGCCGUCUCCGAGCACAAGAACAGGACCGUAAGCCCUCCCUCUUCCCCUGUUCAAUCUGUAUGUUUGUGUUCAACACCCAGCCGGACGGUUCGAUCGACGCAGGUCCUUCCUUGUGUAGGAGUAUUAUUACAUCGAUCUAUGUUAAAUUUGACUGCUGCAAAUACUACUAGAGGAACAACCCAAUUACAUCUUGAAAUCGACGCAUGGAAAUGGAGGUUUUUACUUUUUAGUGGGACUAAUUUUAGUUGCAGAACGCACUGCUGGAGUUCGAGAAAGUGGUGAAGCUGAAGCAGCAAGUUGUUGCUGGCAUGAUGUAUUACAUUACGAUUCAGGUCAAUGAGGGCGGGGCAAAGAAGAUGUAUGAAGCCAAGGUGUGGGAGCAGCCAUGGAUGGAUUUCAAGAAGCUCAUGGAGUUCAGGCCGGCGGAGGGCGCCUCUGCGAGCGCUUAAGGUGGGUCGGUCUCAGCUGUUUAAGGAUCUGCAGAUAUGGUGUGGAUAUAGCUAUCUAUCUAUGGGACAUGUGCUCUCUUGUGGGUCAGAGGGGAUUAUGGUCGGUGCUGCUGACAGUUUUGGACCCGGUCGAACCUUUAGAAAAGCGCGCUGCGACAGGGAGGCUGACAUGACGGCGCAGGCAGCAAGGGGCGACGGCACGGCUGGACUGGAAUCCUGUACCAAGGAAGGAGGCUGGCGGUGCAGCCGCGCACUGCAUGAAGUGUUGUUCUGUAUGUUGGGCUCCUGAAUUGAGCGCAGUGCUGCUGAAUCUGUGUGCCUAGCAUCUGGCACUUAUUGGUUGCUGCAGUUUGGAUGAUGUAUGCAGUGUGCGGAUGAGCCGAGGUGCGUCCAGAUCUGAAGACCGGCUCAGGGGCUACUAACGAGGUGACUAACAAUGUCCCGGCUAGGGAGCCUCUCAUCAUGUUGACUCCCGGCCUAGUGGACCGGGCUGAAGACCCGUUGUCAUUUCGAAACUGGGCCCAUCGGGCGGCCCAUGACGUAUGAUCAGAAGGUUCCAGAAGACUUGCAUACACUACAAGAUGCUGGUACCGUGGAGGACUCUAACUCCUCGCACAUAGCCGACUAGGAUCCAUCACUUGUCUUUGGGGUUCCAACGCCCCAAUGCUGCCCGCCACGGGUCUCAAACACAAGUCGUCGUCACCAGCACCGGUGGGGGUUGGUUUUGCAACACUUGUCACUGCUGGCGAAAAAGGGGUGGGGUGGGCAGCCAUGGCCACAACAGAAUAGAAGAAACAAAAGUGGGCGGUGGCCAUGGCCAGCCAGCACAGCCUGUCGCCGGUGGAGGAAGGCUAGUAUCUACAAAGAGGAAGAGGGGAGAGAGCGGUGCUCACGAUGCAUUGGAGUGCACUCGUGCGCGAGCAAAAGAUUGAACGGACAUUGUUCAUCUCCGAAGAGAUAAGGUAGAAGGAGAGAUGAGAUGGUCGUUCGAUGGUGGAUCCAUGUGCAAACGAGCAAAGUAUAGAUGUUGCUGCCCUGUUUUGUUACAUACAAAAAAAUAAUUAAAACAAUGGAAAUGUAUAGAUGUUACCUCCAAAUAUUUAGUCCACACAUGGUUGCUAUCAA